UAACACGAAGGGAACCUGCCCGCGCACCGGGAAUACGCUCUGGAAACGGANAACAAAUCCCGAUGUACAGGAAGGAGGCAUCUUCUUUCUGUGAAACAUCCUUUAGGGGAUGGGGCGCGGAUGGACCUGCGGUGCAUUAGUUUGUUGGCGGGGUAAAGGCCCACCAAGACGAUGAUGCAUAGCCGGCCUGAGAGGGCGGACGGCCACAUUGGGACUGAGACACGGCCCAGACUCCUGCGGGAGGCAGCAGUAGGGAAUUUUCGUCAAUGGGCGCAAGCCUGAACGAGCGAUGCCGCGUGAGUGAAGAAGGCCUUCGGGUCGUAAAGCUCUGUUGCGGGGGAAGAAAGGCAGCNUCAGGAAAUGGGUGCUGACUGAUGGUGCCCCGCCAGAAAGUCACGGCUAACUACGUGCCAGCAGCCGCGGUAAUACGUAGGUGGCGAGCGUUAUCCGGAAUGAUUGGGCGUAAAGGGUGCGCAGGCGGUCCUGCAAGUCUGGAGUGAAACGCAUGAGCUCAACUCAUGCAUGGCUUUGGAAACUGGAGGACUGGAGAGCAGGAGAGGGCGGUGGAACUCCAUGUGUAGCGGUAAAAUGCGUAGAUAUAUGGAAGAACACCAGUGGCGAAGGCGGCCGCCUGGCCUGUUGCUGACGCUGAGGCACGAAAGCGUGGGGAGCAAAUAGGAUUAGAUACCCUAGUAGUCCACGCCGUAAACGAUGAGGACCAAGUGU
rnacentral:rRNA from 1 species